rnacentral:rRNA from 1 species
AAUGAACGCUGGCGGCAGGCCUAACACAUGCAAGUCGAACGGAUCCUUCGGGAUUAGUGGCGGACGGGUGAGUAACGCGUGGGAACAUACCCUUUGGUACGGAAUAGCCUCGGGAAACUGGGAGUAAUACCGUAUGUGGUCGAGAGACGAAAGAUUUAUCGCCAAAGGAUUGGCCCGCGUUGGAAUAGGUAGUUGGUGGGGUGAUGGCCUACCAAGCCGACGAUCCAUAGCUGGUUUGAGAGGAUGAUCAGCCACACUGUGACUGAGACACGGCCCAGACGCCUACGGGAGGCAGCAGUGGGGAAUCUUAGACAAUGGGGGAAACCCUGAUCUAGCCAUGCCGCGUGAUCGAUGAAGGCCUUAGGGUUGUAAAGAUCUUUCAGGUGGGAAGAUAAUGACUGUACCACCAGAAGAAGCCCCGGCUAACUCCGUGCCAGCCGCCGCAGUAA